GGCUAAAUACUCCCCAGCGACCGAUAGUGAACCAGUACCGUGAGGGAAAGGUGAAAAGCACCCCGACAAGGGGAGUGAAAGAGAUCCUGAAACCGUGUGCCUACAAAUAGUCAGAGCCCGUUAAUGGGUGAUGGCGUGCCUUUUGUAGAAUGAACCGGCGAGUUACGAUCCCGUGCAAGGUUAAGCUGAAGAGGCGGAGCCGCAGCGAAAGCGAGUCUGAAUAGGGCGUUUAGUACGUGGUCGUAGACCCGAAACCAGGUGAUCUACCCAUGUCCAGGGUGAAGUUCAGGUAACACUGAAUGGAGGCCCGAACCCACGCACGUUGAAAAGUGCGGGGAUGAGGUGUGGGUAGCGGAGAAAUUCCAAUCGAACCUGGAGAUAG
rnacentral:rRNA from 1 species